GAACAACAUAGAAACCGCCACAAGCCCUAGACUACAGUCCGCUGAACUGACUUCUCAAUUCAUCAACUGUGCCCUGUUAGGGUUUCAAAUCUCAAUCGAAGGUCGAAGCCAUGUCGAAAAGGGUUCUUUGCAAGUUCUUUGCACGUGGAGCAUGUCUAAAAGGAGAGCACUGUGAUUUCUUGCAUGAUUCGGAAGAUGUUCCAAAUAAUGUGUGCACAUAUUACCAAAAAGGAAUUUGUGCCUUUGGCAGCAGGUGUAGAUACGAACAUGUUAAAAUUACUCGAUCACAACCUUCACUUCCAUCUUCAUCAGCUAACAUUGUUGAGUUGAAGAGAGUUAAUGCAACUGAUCAGUCAAUUUGCUCUUCCUCUACUGCUAGUAAUUGUCCACAAGGGAAAAAAGAGGAGCAUAUGAAAACAUGUGAAACGAGGGAAAAUCAGCUUGAUUUAUUGAAGCAUAGUCAGGAGAUAGAGUGCGGUGUGUGCCUUGAGCGUGUUCUUUCUAAGACAAUUAUGGCCGAGCGGAAAUUUGGGAUACUUUCUGAGUGUGAUCAUCCAUUUUGUAUAUCGUGUAUCAGGAAUUGGCGCAGCAGUUCUCCUUCAAUUGGGAUGAAUGUCAAUUCUACUUUGAGGGCCUGUCCUGUAUGCCGAAAGCUUUCAUAUUUUGUAAUUCCAAGUGUCAUUUGGUACUCAACAAAAGAAGAAAAGCAAGAAAUCAUUAACAGCUAUAAAGCAAAACUCAGGUCUAUUGACUGCAAGAAUUUUGACUUUGGCAACGGGACCUGCCAAUUUGGAGCUAGUUGUUUCUACAAGGAAAUGGAAAUAGCAACUUCAAAUCUAGAAACAGUCUUGGGAGAUCUACACUACAAUGUGACUAUUGUCACUUGAAAGGUCAUACCAAGGACACCUGCUCAUGGAUACCCUACUGAUUUCAAGGCCAAGAGAAAGAGGUUGUUCAGGCCCUCAGGUGAACAAUACAUUUACUGCCAGAGGAUUUCAAUCUCCUGACCUUCCUCAGCCUAUUCCACGACCAUCUCCACAACCUACUCCUCAGUUUUCCCCUGCUCCAGUGUUUACUCAAGAACAAUAUGAUCAGAUAUUGCAUAUGCUGAACAAAGGAAAGCAGGUAGAAUCAGUGGCUAAUGCAGCAACUAUGAAUAACACAGGAUCUCUUGAGUGGGAAGGUAAUGGGGAUUGGUAAGGAAGAAUGUGGACUUUGCAUCCUGAAGCCAGAUAUUCCUGAAGGACCAGUAUAGCAGCUGAAUGCAAAGCAUAAUAACAAGCUAGCAUCUUCUGCAAAUAAUAUCUCUAGUUCCAAUACGAUAGUUUCUUGUAAGCCUACUAAGAAUUGUAGUGUCUCUAUGGCACAAGAGAUUGGGACAUGCAUCUCUAAAAGUUCUACAGAAAAUUAGUAGUUUACCUUACAUUCCUAUGCAAGAUCAUCAUUGUACUGUUUGUCCUAUUGCUAGGCAAUCUAGACUGCCAUUUCCUCACAGCAUCUCUAGUUCUACCUUCCUUUUGAACUUGUACAUGCUGAUGUAUGGGGUCCAUACAAGGUCCCAACUCAUAAUGGUAAAAGGUACUUUAUGACAUUGGUGGAUGACUUUUCUAAGUAUACCUGGAUUUUCUUAAUGAACACAAAGGCAAAAUCUGUUGUGCUGAAAAUGUUUUUAGCACUAGUUCAGACUCAAUUUGAUAACAAGGUUAAGUGUCUCAGGUCUGACAAUGGUACUGAGUUCUUCAAUGAGCAGGUAACUAGUCUCCUGUUGUUGCAUGGAAUCAUUCAUCAGAGUUCCUGUAUGUACACACAUCAGCGGAAUGGUAAAGUUGAGAGAAAGCACAUGUCUAUUCUUAACAUGGCAAGGGCUUUGAGAUUUCAAGCCUUUAUUCCACUCCACUUCUGGUGUGAGUGUGUUUCCACAGCAGUCUAUCUUUUGAAUAGAUUGCCUACUGUUUUGUUGAAAGGAGCCUCCCCAUUUGAGAAACUUUAUGGUAAGGUCCCCUCUCUCCAGCACUUGAAAGUCUUUGGAAGUCUCUGUUAUGCCACCUCUACUAGUAAAUCUGAUAAGUUUAGUCCCAGAGCUAUUCCUGUUGUCCAUCUUGGCUAUUCCUCUGUGCAAGAGGGAUACAUUCUCUAUGGUCUUCACUCUAAAUCAUUCUUUGUAAGCAGGGAUACUGUUUUCCAGGAGGAUAUCUUCCCUUUUAAGCAUGACCUCUCUGGCUCUUCCACUCUAUUUCCUAUUUUGGAUUUGAUAGAACCUGAUUGUUCACCUCCUCAGUUCAUCCCUUCUCCUGGACCUCCUCCAUCUGGCUCUCCUUCUUUUACUUCAGGUUCAUCAGUUGAUUCUCCUCAACCAUCUUCUUACCCUUCAUUAUCAAGUCCUUCUCCUAUUGCUCCUCCUCAUCCUAUUAGAAAAUCAUCCAGGACCUCUGUUCCUCCUGUAUGGUUAAAAGACUAUGUUGUCCCCUCAGACCUCUGUUCCUCCUGUAUGGUUAAAAGACUAUGUUGUCCCCUCUAAAGGAGCAGUUUGCAAUUAUUCCAUUUCCCAGUAUGUCUGUUAUGACAAGCUGUCUCUUGCCUAUCAGACUUGUAUUGCUAUAUAUCCUGCUGUGUCUGAACCUACUUCCUAUGUUGAGGCCAGCACUGAUCCUAAGUGGAUAGAAGCCAUGCAGGCUGAAAUUGCAGCUCUUGAGGAAAAUCAGACAUGGUCCAUUGUUGAUCUGCCUCCUGGCAAGUCUCCUAUUGGCUGUAAGUGGGUGUUCAAAGUCAAAUAUAAGUCCAAUGGGGAGGUGGAGAGGUAUAAGGCUCGACUGGUUGCUAAGGGGUAUAGUCAGCUUGAAGGGUUGAAUUACAAAGAGACCUUUUCUCCUGUGGCCAAAAUGGUGACAGUAAGGUUUGUGGUGGCUUUCGCUGCAGCAUCGGGAUGGUUCAUUUUUCAAAUGGAUGUGCACAAUGCUUUCCUCCAAGGAGACCUUCUUGAGGAAGUUUAUAUGCAAAUCCCAGAUGGCUUUGCCAGCCAUGGGGAGUGUCAUCAGAUGAAAGUAUGCAGAUUGCAUAAGUCCUUGUAUGGACUCAAGCAGACUCCCUGAAGCUGACUUCUGCUCUCAAGGAUAUGGGAUUUGUUCAAUCUCAUUAUGAUUACUCACUCUUCACACAAAGGGUAGGUGGUGAUCUAAUAGUAAUCUUAGUGUAUGUUGAUGACCUAUUGGUCACUGGGAACAAUGUGAAGCUCAUUUAUCAAGUGAGAACAGACUUGCAGGCUAGAUUUAAAAUGAAGGACUUGGGAGAAUUAAAGUUCUUUUUGGGAAUUGAUUUCUGUAGAUCUAAGGAAGGCAUUCUGAUGAAUCAAAGGAAAUAUGCUCUUGAGCUUGUGUCUGAGAUGGGAUUGGCUGGCAGUAAGCCUGUUGCUACACCUCUUGAGUUUAAUCAUAAACUCACCUCAGUAGCAUUUGAUGAAUUUAUGAACAAAGGGGAAGCCUCUACAGAUGUACAACUUGAGGACCCAGGAAGCUAUCAAAAACUUGUUGGCAGACUGCUGUACCUGACAAUGACAAGGCCAGACAUUGCCUUUGUUGUUCAAGUACUGAGUCAACAUAUGCAUGCCCCUAAGCAAUCACAUUUGGAAGCAGCUAUAAGAGUAGUCAAGCACAUCAAGGGAACUGCAGGCUUGGGCAUGUUUAUGCCAGCAAAAGGUAAUAAGGAACUAGUUGUCUAUUGUGAUUCAGACUGGUGUUUGUGUGUGGAAACAAGGAAAUCCAUCACUGGUUAUAUAGUCAAGUUUGGUGAAGCUGUAAUUUCCUGGAAGUCUAAAAAACAAAGCAUAGUUUCCAGGAGCUCAGCAGAAUCAGAAUUCAGGAAUAUGGCAGCUACUGUUGCUGAAGUCACUUGGCUAGUUGGUUUAUUUGGAGAGCUUGGAAUUGCAGUAACCAAUCCUGUGCAGCUGUUCUAUGAUAGUAAGGCUGCUAUACAGAUUGCAACACAUCCCAUAUUCCAUGAAAGAACAAAACACUUUGAUAUUGAUUGUCACUUUGUAAGGGAGAAAAUUCAGAGUGGUCAAAUUCAAACACAACACAUAGGGACUAAAGAACAACCUGCUGAUCUACUCACCACGAGUCUAUGCAAACCACAACAUGAGUAUUUGAUUAGCAAGCUGGGAAUGAAGAACCUCUUCCAUCCCUUAGCUUGAGGAAGAGUGUUGAGAAGAAUGUAUAGUGUAGAAGUUAGUUAGGUUGUUAGAAGUUAGUUAGUGGGUCAUAUGUACAACUGUCAACAGCUAAUAUAUUAUUAGGUGAUUAAGUGUUGUAUAAAUAUACACAUGUACAAUACAUGAGAAAUGAGAUUCGAUAUUUCCCAUACUCAGCUCAUUCACUCUCUUCUUCCUUCCUCUGCUUCCUUUCUCUAUGGCUCCUUUAAUGGCUAUGCCUCUCUUAACACUAAUUUCUCCUUUUCCAGUCAAAAAAAUCGACCAAGUCUAAAAAAUAAUUUGCUACUGUUUGCACGAAUCUGAAAAAUAAUCAUGCUAUCGUGUUACCAGAAUCGCCCUUAGAGACAGAUUUGCAUGGGCAAAAGAAUCGCACCUGGCAAGUACCUCCCCCCCUAAAAUUGGAAUAAAACUUUGGUUAUGAAAUUUGUGGAUUUUGAGAUGAUGGGAUGAAGAAAAAGGAAAACAGAAUGGUGGGUUUGGUGAGCUGUAGAGUGAUUAUAUUAGAUGACCAAAUUCCACCAUUUUCAUAACCAAAAAUAUUGCAGUCUUUGGUAAACACUAGUUGAUUGAGUACUAAAUUGCAAUCUACCAUCAUUAGCAGUUUGGAUUUUCUUUGGAUUGGAAUAUAUAGAUUUGGUCAUGAAAAUGGUGGAAUUUGAAAUGAUGGAUGAAGGGAAAGAAAACAGAUUGGUGGGUUUUGAUGAGAAUGGUUUUACAUAGUGAAAUAAAUUAAUUUUGGAAAAUGGUGAUUGAGCUUGGGAAUUGGUUUUUCUAAGAGAAUUUUCGGAUGGUGAAGGAGAUGAUCUAUUAUUAAAAAAUACUUUAAAAUAAGAUAAAAGUGGACGUGGCAAAACUUGGUGAUAUUUAGCUCCUAAUAAUUUUUUCCGUUUGAAAUUAAGGGUAAAUAUGACCCAUUUUAGUAACGGCAAGGCUAUAUUUGCCCCCAACUAUUAAAGGAGGGCAAAUAUGAACCAUUUUACAUUGUUGAGGGGUAUAUUUGGACCUUCUCCGAUUUAAUUAUCACAGAUUUGUGCUUCUUCUUUUCAAGGAAUCCAAACUCCAGUAAAACUUCUAUAUACUGUAAAAUUGACCUUUACAGUCUACUUCACGCUUUGACCAGGUGAACUUUUAGACGACAAAUAGUCACAGUAUGUGUAUAUUGAGUGGCAUGGCAGUUCUAAUACAUGUUUCCCUGCUCAUGGAUAUUGUGUGUGUGUGUGUGUUGUUUUUACACUUUGUGGUGUCUGCUACCAAGGAAGUGAAUUUCGGAAGUCCUAUGUGCGAUAGAUAAGCUUAUUGUCAUAUGCCUUUGGUGCGAAUCAUUUACUGUGUAGCUACUUAAAUAUGUUCUUUAUAAUAUUCUGGGAAUUUCCUUAAUUUCUCAUCAACUAACCUUAAAGGGCGUGGUUGACUUAUAUGAGUCGU